rnacentral:lncRNA from 1 species
CCCACGCAUGCCAACAAUGGGAGACAGAAUGUUUGUGGGUGUGGAUUCUAAAGGUAUUAGACCAAGGUGGAUUUAAUGCAACGCUGGAAUCAGCUGAAUUUAUUGAUAUACGUGCAUUCAUCAGAGAUUCUGGAUUAAAUGUUUUAGUUUGGAUAGCUGCAAGUGGCUCUAUUAGGUUACUUUUUAAUUUACUUAUUUACUUGUUUGUUGCUUAUUUUUCCCCACUGCUGCAUGUGGCCAGGGAUUUUUAUCUGUUUUAUUUGCUGCUACAUUUUGGCAUCAGAAUCACACCUGAUAUACAAAAAAUAUUUCUGUGGCCUUCUCUGCUUCACCUCCUCCAUUUAACUUCUCAGUAGGAGUUCUUCAGAAAAGUUGAUGAGACUGAAUGAGUGAAUGGAAAAGAACCCAUUGGCUGAGAGUCAAAGAAGGAUGGUUUGCCAUUCCAGCUGCUCCAACUAAGACUUCCGAGGUUCAGUCUAGAGAGAAAUCAAGUCCUGUGUUUCCCGGGUUCACCUUGAACAAGUCACCACUUUAUCCCUCCACAUCACUCUCGUUUUAGCAAUAAAAUAUCAAGUAAAAGCUAGGAGUUGGAGGAAUCAUUCAAACAGAUAUUAAAACGUUAGCACACAUUUUUAAACAUUUCGUAAGUCACAAGGUCCCAACUU